rnacentral:misc_RNA from 1 species
UUUCCGUAGGUGAACCUGCGGAAGGAUCAUUACCUACUGCGCCGUGCCUGCAGGUGUUUGCACCCGCAGGCAUAGCCAGCCAACCCUUGUCCAUCGCUACCAUUUGUAAAUCCCUCGGCAGGGACGCCUGCCGCUGGGACCCCCUAAACUCCACGUAUGCAAGCAUUAAAACCUUCAGAAUCCACACAAAAUAUUACAACUUUCAACAAUGGAUCUCUUGGUUCUG